GCUCCGUGCGCGGGCCGAGCUCUGCCCUCCCCGUCCCGGUAGAGCGCGGCGCUGCCUGCCCGGCGCCUCGUCCUCCGAGCCGGCCGUGCCGCAGCCGUGUGAGCACAGGAGCUCUGCCGAGCCUUCGGAGCAGUACCUGUGCUGUGCAUUAUUGGUGUUCUCUGCCCAGGCUUGGCUCCUGCACUCUUUGUGUCAUGCUCGCACUCAAGGAUAGCUGAAUCGCUUUUCAAUAAACCCGUUAAAGUUGUUACGGUCGUCACUGUUUUUAGACUGCCUACAACCUCACAAGAGCCUUUGAAAGGAGACCUGGAAAGCAGAUCUGGCUCUGGAUCUGUUUACAAAUGGACAUAAAACUCUUUUGAAAUUGGUGCAGGAAUAGGCUUCUUGCUGCUGUUUGUCCAUGUAGAACCAGUGAAGGUUUCCAGUGAGGCUGUCACACCUGAGAUGGACAAAUAAUGGCUGAGCAGGGAUAUGUCAAGCCACAGUUGAUCUUAUCAUCUGCCCUGUGUCCUGAAGACCCAGAGAUGAAGAGGUUCAUAGAGCUCAUCUCAAAUCCUGUAAAUCAGGUCAUAAGAGUCUUCCUCUCCAAGAAGGACUGAAUUUUAUUAAUAACAUUAAAUAUUACAUAAUCUCAAAUAUUGUUAUAGGUGACAGGUGUACUUAAGCUUGAACUAGAGCUUGUACUGAAGCUUGAACUAGAAAAGCAGAAUCAAGGAUGAGCUUUUUUUUGCCUUUCCAGGAACAGGUCAAUUUUGUUCCAAGAUAAAAUACAUAGUUCUUUGAAGUAUAACAAUUUUUUUCUUAAAAAUAAAAAAAGGUUGGAAUGGAAAAAACUCUGUCUAGAAAGUGGACAGGAAGAAAAACACUCCAAGAUGUGCUUUUCAUCCUAAAAAAUAGGUUAUAACAUGAUGAAAUCAUGUUUAGACAAGCUGUCUUGAUACUCAGAACACAGUUGUCAUAGUAACAAUUUAUUUAUCCUUUUCUUCCUGAUCCAAUCAAAAAGAGAUACAAACAACAGGGGACAUACAGGGAACUUGUUCCCAAUUACUAUUGCUUACCUUCACACUCCUUUUCUGAAAAGCCUUUUAAUACACAAAAGGUAGCCAAAACACUUUAAUUUCAUUGUCUCAUCGAUGUUGGAGGAAAAAAAACCAAGAUUUUUUAAUAGUCAUUUGUUAUUUACCUUUGAUUUUUUUUUUUUUAGUAUCUCUGUACUCACCUGAAGUACCUUUUAUUUACCAUAGGCAAUAUUUCUAAGGCAGACUGUAACAGUUCCAGUACUCAGGUUAGGACAAGCACAGCUAAUAUUCACGACAUUAAUUCCUCUAACGCUUAGGGCAAUAAACAGACUCCUAUCUUGCAAAGGAAAAAGUGAUUAUGUAAAAAAGACCAAAAAAAAAAAAAAACCCCGUAACUCACUUCUGUGUAAUUUUAAUGUGAUGUUAUAACAAGAUUUGAUUUUUUUUUCAAGUUGGACACUGGAAAACAUUUUGCCCAGAGGAAUAAUUUGAACAACAAUCCAAGCAACAGCAGUAAUGACUCAAAGCUACUACUGUCUUAAAAGGAGUUAAAAAUGAAACAAGUCAAAUAUUCCAUCUUGCAUAGAGAACUUCCUGAAUAAUUGUUUUCUGAUGGCAGUUCUAGCAUAGAGGCUGGUUUGUGAAUUUUACACAGAUUAAACAGGUUGUUUUUACACAGAUUGGUUUUUACACACUAUAAAAAGAUGUGCUUUUGUGAAUAUUUUCCACAUGGAUUAAUUGCUAAAAUAUGAACUAAAAACAUUCUCAAGUAAUUCUUGAUGUAUGAAAAACCACUGUACAUAAUUUCUUGGUGAAGGAUUUCAGUGUCUUUGGAUACAAUCUGCUAAAUAAAGUACAAUCAAGUGUUCA